AGGCUGUUUCUCUUACUUUUAAACAGAACUUUCCCUGUGUAAAAAUGAGAAAAUAAUUUGAAGAUCAGGGAGAGAAAACGGACAAUCUUGACACAUCCUGUCUCUGGAGGAGAGGGCCGCGCCCUUGGUGUGGUAGAGUUGUUCACCAGUCACCCCGUGAUCCUUCACCAGACUGGUGCUCUGUGAGUAGUCAGUCCUCCGUGAUCCUUCACCAGACUGGUGCCCUGUGAGUAGCUGUCUACAUCACCCAUCUCGUGCCCUGUGGCAGUGAUCGGGCAAGAUGGCCGCCAGGGCUGCCAGACGUCUCCUCAUUGUACUGAUGAGUGUUGGCGUCUACAGCGGUGUCUCCCUCUCCCUGUAAGUUCACUCUUCAUCAUCACUUAUAACUCUACAUUUAUA